rnacentral:rRNA from 1 species
CCUGUUUAACAAAAACAUGUCUUUUUGAGUUAUUUUUAAAGUCUGACCUGCCCACUGAAUUUUUAAAUGGCCGCAGUAUUCUAACUGUGCAAAGGUAGCAUAAUCAUUAGUCUUUUAAUUGAAGGCUGGUAUGAACGGUUGGACGAGGUAUAAGCUGUUUCAUAUAAAUUUAUAAUAGAAUUUUAUAUUUUAGUCAAAAAGCUAAAAUAUUAUUAAAAGACGAGAAGACCCUAUAAAUCUUUAUAUUUUUUAAUAUUUAAAUUUUUUGGAUUUGUUUUAUUUUUAUAAUAAAAAAUAUUUUGUUGGGGUGAUGUUAAAAUUUAAUGAACUUUUAAUUAUUUAAAAUCAUUAAUUUAUGAAUUAUUGAUCCAUUAGUAGUGAUUAUAAGAUUAAGUUACUUUAGGGAUAACAGCGUAAUUUUUUUGGAGAGUUCAUAUCGAUAAAAAAGUUUGCGACCUCGAUGUUGGAUUAAGAUAUAAUUUUAGGUGUAGCCGCUUAAAU